rnacentral:misc_RNA from 1 species
GCAACUUAAAGGACUAUUUGUCAUGUCUUCUAUGGUACAUUUUCUGUUUUCAGGGCAUCCAAAACUAGCACAAUUUAAUUGUUGCUUAAAUUUCAGUAAGGAUGCUUCAUGAAUCCAACCAUACACAUUCUGUAAAUAGUUGACGAAAUCUUUUGCUUUCCGAUUUUCUGGAUGCAUGGUAGAUCUGUCAUGGAGGAGACUCUGCAGAGAAGAACUCCCUAAGAGAGGACCAAAGAAUGAGACUUUCUGGUUCGCUGUUAGUCGUUCCACAUUUGCAAGCAGUAGAGGUGAAGAAUCUGUAUCACUAUCCAAAUUGACUGGUAUUGAGUGAUCAGGAGGUGAAAAACAAACACCAGAAAUUUUAUCUGCAGUGGAGUAACCAAAUAUGUUGUUUUCUUGGUGAUCGGUAUUAUUGCAUCUAGAACUUCCUUUAGAUAGG